GAGCGUCUUAUUUUAAUAAGUCAAAACUUUCAACAACGGAUCUCUUGGUUCUGGCAUCGAUGAAGAACGCAGCGAAAUGCGAUAAGUAAUGUGAAUUGCAGAAUUCAGUGAAUCAUCGAAUCUUUGAACGCACAUUGCGCCCAUUAGUAUUCUAGUGGGCAUGCCUGUUCGAGCGUCAUUUCAACCCUUAAGCCUAGCUUAG
rnacentral:rRNA from 1 species